AGUGGGGAAUCUUGCGCAAUGGACGAAAGUCUGACGCAGCCACGCCGCGUGAGUGAAGAAGGCCUUCGGGUUGUAAAGCUCUGUCGGGAGGGACGAAAACUUCGGGCGUGAAUAGCUCUCGAAAUUGACGGUACCUUCAAAGGAAGCACCGGCUAACUCUGUGCCAGCAGCCGCGGUAAUACAGAGGGUGCAAGCGUUGCUCGGAAUUAUUGGGCGUAAAGGGCAGGUAGGUGGUCUGAUUUGUCUGUCGGUGAAAUCCCGGAGCUUAACUCCGGAAGUGCCACGGAAACGGUCAGACUAGGAGUACUGGAGAGGCUAGCGGAAUUCCCGGUGUAGCGGUGAAAUGCGUAGAGAUCGGGAGGAACACCAGAGGCGAAGGCGGCUAGCUGGACAGUGACUGACACUCAACUGCGAAAGCGUGGGGAGCAAA
rnacentral:rRNA from 1 species